rnacentral:rRNA from 1 species
UACGUAGGGGGCUAGCGUUGUCCGGAAUCAUUGGGCGUAAAGCGCGCGUAGGCGGUCAGGUAAGUCCGGUGUGAAAGUCAAAGGCUCAACCUUUGAAUGCCGCUGGAUACUGCCUGACUUGAGUCCGGAAGGGGCGAGUGGAAUUCCCGGUGUAGCGGUGAAAUGCGCAGAUAUCGGGAAGAACACCCGUGGCGAAGGCGGCUCUCUGGGACGGUACUGACGCUGAGACGCGAAAGCGUGGGGAGCGAACAGG